UACGGGGGGAGCAAGCGUUGUUCGGAUUUACUGGGCGUAAAGGGCGCGUAGGCGGCCACCGCAAGUCGAUUGUGAAAUCUCCGGGCUUAACUCGGAAAGGUCAACCGAUACUGCGGGGCUAGAGUGCAGAAGGGGCAACUGGAAUUCUCGGUGUAGCGGUGAAAUGCGCAGAUAUCAGGAGGAACACCAGCGGCGAAGGCGGCGCUCUGGGCCGGAACUGACGCUGAGGAGCGAAAGCGUGGGUAGCAAACAGG
rnacentral:rRNA from 1 species